AGGGACCCAGUGCAUUGGAGGGUCCUUCCAGUCCCAGUUCAGCCAUCACACAGCAGCCUCGAGAUCGACACAGUUUUGUCCAGGAACACUUCCAGGCUCAGUACAGGUCUUCUCUGACGUGCCCUCAUUGCCUUAAGCAGAGCAACACCUUCGACCCAUUUUUAUGCAUCUCCCUGCCUAUCCCCCUACGACAAACAAGGCCGCUGUGUGUGACGCUGGUGUUCAGUACGAAGGGCCAGAGGUACCUGCGGGUCGGGCUGGCUGUACCACUCUUUGGUUCUCUGUCCUGCCUGAGAGCCAUGGUGGCAGAGGAGGGCAAGAUCUCCCCAGA